rnacentral:rRNA from 1 species
GUGGGGAAUAUUGCGCAAUGGGCGAAAGCCUGACGCAGCUACGCCGCGUGGGUGAUGAAGGCCUUCGGGUUGUAAAGCCCUGUCGAGGGGGAAGAAGCAAUGACGGUACCCCUCAAGAAAGCGCCGGCUAACCCUGUGCCAGCAGCCGCGGUAAUACAGGGGGCGCGAGCGUUGCUCGGAAUCACUGGGCGUAAAGCGUACGCAGGCGGACCGUUAAGUCGGAUGUGAAAUCCCAGGGCUCAACCCUGGAAGUGCAUUCGAUACUGGCGGUCUUGAGUACGGGAGAGGAGAGCGGAAUUCCUGGUGUAGAGGUGAAAUUCGUAGAUAUCAGGAGGAACACCGGUGGCGAAAGCGGCUCUCUGGCCCGAUACUGACGCUCAUGUACGAAAGCGUGGGGAGCAAACAGGAUUAGAAACCCCUGUAGUCC